CAGAUCAGGGCAUAAAGAAACUUCAUCACUCAGUAAAGCUGUUCUGACCCCAGCCAAAACAAGGUUGUCUAUGUGCUUUGAGGAUCUCACUCUGUUGCUCAAGUUGGAGUACAGUGGUGCUAUCUUAGCUCACUGCAACCUCAAACUCCUGGUCACAAGUGAUCCUCCAACCUCAGCCUCCUGAGUAGCUGGGACUACAAGUGCAUGCCACCAUGCCCAUCUAAUUUUUAAUUUUUUGCAGAGACGGGGGUCUCACUUUGUUGACUAGCCUGGUCUCAAACUCCUGGCCUCAAGUGAUACUCAGUCAUUUUUCUUGAAUAAAUAUUUCUUAGAUUGUUGUAAACCUUCAGUGAAUUUCCAAGUUUCUGAAAAAGUUGGUUUUGAUUAUUUUUGCCACUGUUCUUCUUGUUUCUGUGGGGUUGCAGAAUUUUCACAGGUCCUAUUUCACCAUCCUCCAGGUACUUCUCUUAAUUUACUUUUAACAUGUUGUUCUAUUAAGUUUAAAUUGAUUUAAGCUCUAUUUAAACUGUGAUAUUUAGAAUAUGCUAGAAAUUACACAAUUUGCAUCUGCUAUUUAUUUAUUUAUUUAUUUAUUUAUUUAUUUAUUUAUUUAUUUUGAGACAGGGUCUUACCCUGUCAGCCAGGCUGGAGUGCAGUGAUGAGACCAUAGCUAACUGUAGCCUCAACCUUCUGGGCUCAAGCAAUCCUUCCAUCUCAACCUGCCAAUUAGCUGGGCCCAAGAAUGUGCCACCA
rnacentral:lncRNA from 1 species